UACGUAGGGUCCGAGCGUUGUCCGGAAUUAUUGGGCGUAAAGAGCUCGUAGGCGGUCUGUCGCGUCUGGUGUGAAAACUCAGGGCUUAACCCUGAGCUUGCAUCGGGUACGGGCAGACUAGAGUGCGGUAGGGGAGACUGGAAUUCCCGGUGUAGUGGUGAAAUGCGUAGAGAUCGGGAGGAACACCCGUGGCGAAGGCGGCUCACUGGGCUGACCUUGACGCUGAGGCGCGAAGGCGUGGGGAGCGAACGGG
rnacentral:rRNA from 1 species